rnacentral:rRNA from 1 species
ACCGAGUACUCUGCUCAUUCCCUGUGAACCUAUCUGUUGCCUCGGCAGGGAGCUCUGCUAGGCGGCGGCCCCUGGGCCUCCGCACCUGCCAAGGCCUUCAUACCAUUCAGUAGUUAUCAGAGUAAGCUUGAACAAGCAAAACAACCAAAACUUUCAACAAUGGAUCUCUUGGUUCUGGCAUCGAUGAAGAACGCAGCGAAAUGCGAUAAAUAAUGCGAAUUGCAGAAUUCAGUGAGUCAUCGAAUCUUUGAACGCACAUUGCGCCCUUUAGUAUUCUGAAGGGCAUGCCUGUUCGAGCGUCAUUAUCACUAUUCAAGCCUGGCUUGCUGUUGGACCUCUUGUCGUUAAAAGACAGGCCCCAAAGAUAAUGACGGCGUCAGUUGGACCCUAGAUGCAACGAGCUCUAACCAGCACGUAUCUUAGUUGGCCCCUUUGACCCGGUCUUUUUUAACCACUUUAUAAAAGGUUGACCUCGGAUCAGGUAGGAAUACCCGCUGAACUUAA